GACGAACGCUGGCGGCGUGCUUAACACAUGCAAGUCGAACGCUGAAGCUCAGCUUUUGUUGGGUGGAUGAGUGGCGAACGGGUGAGUAACACGUGAGUAACCUGCCCCCUUCUUUGGGAUAACGCCCGGAAACGGGUGCUAAUACUGGAUAUUCACUGGUCUUCGCAUGGGGGUUGGUGGAAAGGGUUUUUCUGGUGGGGGAUGGGCUCGCGGCCUAUCAGCUUGUUGGUGGGGUGAUGGCCUACCAAGGCUUUGACGAGUAGCCGGCCUGAGAGGGUGACCGGUCACAUUGGGACUGAGAUACGGCCCAGACUCCUACGGGAGGCAGCAGUGGGGAAUAUUGCACAAUGGGCGCAAGCCUGAUGCAGCGACGCCGCGUGAGGGAUGGAGGCCUUCGGGUUGUGAACCUCUUUCGCUCAUGGUCAAGCCGCAACAAUGGUUGUGGUGAGGGUAGUGGGUAAAGAAGCGCCGGCUAACUACGUG
rnacentral:rRNA from 1 species